rnacentral:rRNA from 1 species
GAUGAACGCUAGCGGUAUGCUUAACACAUGCAAGUCGUACGAGAGUUUUUAAUUCAAGUGGCGGACGGGUGAGUAACACGUGAGAAUUUACCUUUAGGAGGGGGAUAACAAUUGGAAACGAUUGCUAAUACCCCAUAUGCUUUCAAGUGAAAUGGAGUUUUCCGCCUAAAGAAAAGCUCGCGGCUGAUUAGCUUGUUGGUAAGGUAAUGGCUUACCAAGGCGACGAUCAGUAUCUGGUUUGAGAGGACGAUCAGACACACUGGAACUGAGACACGGUCCAGACUCCUACGGGAGGCAGCAGUGGGGAAUUUUCCGCAAUGGGCGAAAGCCUGACGGAGCAAUACCGCGUGAGGGAAGAAGGCCUAUGGGUUGUAAAGCUCUUUCGGCCGGGAAGAAAUCGCACAGGUUAAUACCCUGUGUGGAUGACGGUACCGGACUAAGAAGCACCGGCUAACUACGUG